CACGUAGGGGACGAGCGUUGUCCGGAUUCAUUGGGCGUAAAGCGCGCGUAGGCGGCUCGGAAAGUCGGUCGUGAAAUGCCGGGGCUCAACCCCGGGACUGCGUCCGAUACUUCCGGGCUGGAGGUAGGUAGGGGAGAUCGGAAUUCCUGGUGUAGCGGUGAAAUGCGCAGAUAUCAGGAGGAACACCGGUGGCGAAGGCGGAUCUCUGGGCCUUACCUGACACUGAGGCGCGAAAGCUAGGGGAGCGAACAGG
rnacentral:rRNA from 1 species